GAUGAACGCUGGCGGCGUGCUUAACACAUGCAAGUCGAACGAUGAAGCCCAGCUUGCUGGGUGGAUUAGUGGCGAACGGGUGAGUAACACGUGAGUAACCUGCCCUUAACUCUGGGAUAAGCCUGGGAAACUGGGUCUAAUACCGGAGAGGAGCGUCCACCGCAUGGUGGGUGUUGGAAAGAUUUAUCGGUUUUGGAUGGACUCGCGGCCUAUCAGCUUGUUGGUGAGGUAGUGGCUCACCAAGGCGACGACGGGUAGCCGGCCUGAGAGGGUGACCGGCCACACUGGGACUGAGACACGGCCCAGACUCCUACGGGAGGCAGCAGUGGGGAAUAUUGCACAAUGGGCGCAAGCCUGAUGCAGCGACGCCGCGUGCGGGAUGACGGCCUUCGGGUUGUAAACCUCUUUCAGUAGGGAAGAAGCGAAAGUGACGGUACCUGCAGAAGAAGCACCGGCUAACUACGUG
rnacentral:rRNA from 1 species